UACGGAGGGUGCGAGCGUUGUCCGGAAUCACUGGGCGUAAAGGGCGCGUAGGCGGACAGUUUAGUCAGAGGUGAAAGCCCAGGGCUCAACCUUGGAAUUGCCUUUGAUACUGGCUGUCUUGAGUUCGGGAGAGGUGAGUGGAAUGCCGAGUGUAGAGGUGAAAUUCGUAGAUAUUCGGAAGAACACCAGUGGCGAAGGCGGCUCACUGGACCGGCAUUGACGCUGAUGUGCGAAAGCGUGGGGAGCAAACAGG
rnacentral:rRNA from 1 species